rnacentral:rRNA from 1 species
AGAGAGUUCAAGAGUACGUGAAACCGUUCAGGGGUAAACGGGAGAAAUCCUGAAUUCGAAAGGGACUGGAUUCAAUACCUACCGAGAUGUUGGGAUGCCCCUGCCAGAUGGCGCUGGUCGCCCGCGGCGAUUCAUUUCGCUUGCGGUGUCGUUCCCGGCGAUCACUCGGCGGACUGGGCAUGUACCUGGCUCCGGAGGGGUGCACUUCCUCCCUAGUAGAAACGUCGCGACCCGUUGGGUGCCGGCCUAAGGCCCGGGAUGGCAGACCGCGUGUCUCGUGGGGGUUCCCACGGGCGUGCGGACUCCUGGUGACCCGGCCGGCUGCCCGACGGUAUGACCAGAGGAGUCGAUCCGCUGAAUGGGAAACACUGUGGUUGUGUAGCGUCCGGCCCGGCGCCGAGGCGUGCGGGGAAUGAGGUGGAAACCGUGGGUGCCCGUGCUAAGCACGGCCCCGGCCCCGCUGCGUCCUCGGAUACGUCGGUGUCCUCGGACUGGAUCAGCACUCCCGUCUGCGACGCCCACCUUCGGAUGGUCUCC